AACGAACGCUGGCGGCAGGCCUAACACAUGCCAGUCGAGCGCGCCUUCGGGUGAGCGGCGGACGGGUGAGUAACGCGUGGGAAUAUGCCCUUCUCUACGGAAUAGUCCUGGGAAACUGGGGGUAAUACCGUAUACGCCCUUUGGGGGAAAGAUUUAUCGGGGAAGGAUUAGCCCGCGUUGGAUUAGGUAGUUGGUGGGGUAAUGGCCUACCAAGCCGACGAUCCAUAGCUGGUUUGAGAGGAUGAUCAGCCACACUGGGACUGAGACACGGCCCAGACUCCUACGGGAGGCAGCAGUGGGGAAUCUUAGACAAUGGGGGCAACCCUGAUCGAGCCAUGCCGCGUGAGUGAUGAAGGCCUUAGGGUUGUAAAGCUCUUUCAGCUGGGAAGAUAAUGACGGUACCAGCAGAAGAAGCCCCGGCUAACUCCGUG
rnacentral:rRNA from 1 species